CGGCUAACUGCUCGCAUCACUGGGAAGAGCCCACGUGGGUUUGAUGGACAUGUAGUGUUACAUCCACCAAUGUGCUGAUUGCAUAUCUGUAUAAGGGAUAGCACCUACUCCCAGUUAUUCCACGACGCUUACAUUCAUUGAUUAAAUUACCCCCAAUAAACUCAUAAUAUAUUUAUAAAGUAAAUCUGAGCAUGGGGCAAAUAUGUUACAUUAUGGCAUGAAC